rnacentral:rRNA from 1 species
UACGUAGGGUGCAAGCGUUGUCCGGAAUUAUUGGGCGUAAAGAGCUCGUAGGCGGUCUGUCGCGUCUGCUGUGAAAACCCAGGGCUUAACCCUGGGCUUGCAGUGGAUACGGGCAGACUAGAGGCAGGUAGGGGAGAAUGGAAUUCCCGGUGUAGCGGUGAAAUGCGCAGAUAUCGGGAGGAACACCGGUGGCGAAGGCGGUUCUCUGGGCCUGACCUGACGCUGAGGAGCGAAAGCGUGGGGAGCGAACAGG